UGGAUCGCGCUGCUCUGAUGAAACUGGUCAGCGCUGCGCUAUCCAUCGGGUGGCGCAAGUAAACAACUCAUCUCUGCGCUAUCCAGACAGUCGCGCGGCUCUGUCCAUUGGUCCGCGCGUAUAAUUGGUCCGCGCAGCGCGGAUCAAUCGAGUGGCGCAGUUUCGUCCUUCUUUUGAGGAGAUCGGCUUCCCAUAGUAGAGGGAGAGGUCGCGCUCGCGUAUUUUAUCGCGAAAAAAUAGAUGCAACUGAAAAAAACCAUUAAUGCAUUUAAAUGAUUAUAAGGGGAAUCAACGAAGGUAAAAUGUUCAUUACUGUAAAAGGCUGGUAAGUACUGGGAUAAGCUUGGGUCUAUAGUGAUAGUACAAUUCAGCCCCUACACAUUCCGAGACCGAUGUCAUUCGGUGGUAGUAGUAGUACGUGACGUCAUUAGCUGCGAGCCUGCGCACUGAGUGGUAUGUAGUGGAAAGUUGAACCUGUCUUGUUCCUGUGCAUGAAGGCGUAUGACCUCAAAGUACCGCGAGAGUGUGAUUCGAGUGUAAACUCCACCGUAUGCUUUCGUAAUGCUCUCGCGGUAUUUAGAUAUUAUACAUUAGGCUAAAGUCCGUAAAGGCGGCGCCUUUUGAAGUUCAGCACAAUCAUUGUUUUACGAGUGUCAGUGCCCGCAUGGUGCAAACAGAUACUUAAACUGUUACUGCCAGUGAUAUCUUGAUCUGGCCCUUAUUUGCCUUAGAAGCUUAAGUUCACUUUUUUCAUUCAAUAUCAGACAGGAGUUUGGUUUCACUGUGCUAUUGUGUUGAAUGGAUGAGUCUCAGCUUUACUCGGAAACAUUGAAGGUUGAUUCUUUCAGUGUCAAAAAUGUACAGCUCAUCACUGACUUUCAUUUUGUCCGCUACCUUAUUUCCUCAUUCUUCUACUUAUAGGCCUAUAAAUCUAUAAACACGUAGCCAUAUACAGUGCCGCAUUCCAGUCAUAUUUCUGGGAGUGUUUUCUACCUUGGGAAAUGAGUUUCUACAUGUCUGUUCCUACAAUCAACCAUCUGGCCACCUCUCACUCUCCAAUCACUUGUGCCAAUGUCAAAUGCAGCCACGGUAGAUGUGUGAUGGUGAAUCGGAUGGUCAUCUGUGAGUGUAAACUUGGUUACAUGGGUGACACAUGUAGUGAUACAAUCAAUGAGGCUCUCUCCUUACCACUUACGCUCGGCACCUUGGUCUGCAUCAUCGCCUUUCUCUUCCUCAUCUUUGUGUUGGCAUUUGUUCGCCAAAGGCAAAAGAUAAAGCAGAGAAAAAGGGCAGCUGAAGAAGCCUUAAGAAGAAAUGGAGCACAUGUUUAACACGUCUUAAUGCAGUGGUCACCAACCCUGUUCCCGGAGAUUUAUCCUCCUGCAUACUUUAGGUACAACCCUGCUUCAGCACAUCUGCCUCUAAUAUUUAUGUAGGCGUGAAAAGCUUGAUUAGCAGGUUCAUGUGUGUGCAACAUGCAAAAAACAGGUUUGGCAUUUUCACAUUACUGACUUAAAAUGCUUUCAAAAACUCAUGGUUAGUAAAAGUAAUCCCCACGCCCCUUCAUAUUGUUCUCCCUAACAGACUUUUUGAUUUGCAUCAGAUCAUUUUUAUAUCAAUGUUAUGCUGCUAAGGUAUCAAUGUCUUUUACCACAAGGCACUUGACUGACAAUUGUUGUAUAUCAAACGUGACAUGUAUAUGAAAGAAUUUGUAUAGUUUUUUAUGAUAACAUGUUUUCUGACACACCUGUGGGGAGUUAUCUCUAUAAACAUGUUGAUUAGUUGCUUUAAAUGGGUUUUUAUUAACUGAGAAGCCACAGGCAGGUAUCUCUUUCAGGUUGACAUUUAUGAAAGGUAUUUCUGUGUGUCUGUUAUUUAGUUUUACUUUGUUUGUAUUUUGCAGCAACACUUUAUUGAAUUGUAUUUAUUCUAAUUAUUGUUGGCCUCAGGUUAU